AUUGAACGCUGGCGGCAGGCCUAACACAUGCAAGUCGAACGAGUGGCGGACGGGUGAGUAAUGUCUGGGAAACUGCCUGGUGGAGGGGGAUAACUACUGGAAACGGUAGCUAAUACCGCAUACCAUCAGAUGUGCCCAAAUGGGAUUAGCUUGAGGGUGGGGUAACGGCUCCCCAAGGUGACGAUCCCUAGCUGGUCUGAGAGGAUGACCAGCCAAACGGGUACUGAGACACGGUCCAGACUCCUACGGGAGGCAGCAGUGGGGAAUAUUGCACAAUGGGCGCAAGCCUGAUGCAGCCAUGCCGCGUGUAUGAAGAAGGCCUUCGGGUUGUAAAGUACUUUCAGCGGGGAGGCGUUACCCACAGAAGAAGCACCGGCUAACUCCGUGCCAGCAGCCGCGGUAAUUC
rnacentral:rRNA from 1 species